CGGUAUGGGAUGGGGAUGCGUUCCAUUAGUUAGUUGGCGGGGUAACGGCCCACCAAGACAACGAUGGAUAGGGGUUCUGAGAGGAAGGUCCCCCACAUUGGAACUGAGACACGGUCCAAACUCCUACGGGAGGCAGCAGUGAGGAAUAUUGGUCAAUGGACGAGAGUCUGAACCAGCCAAGUAGCGUGAAGGAUGACUGCCCUAUGGGUUGUAAACUUCUUUUAUAUGGGAAUAAAACGUUCCACGUGUGGGAUUUUGUAUGUACCAUAUGAAUAAGGAUCGGCUAACUCCGUGCCAGCAGCCGCGGUAAUACGGAGGAUCCGAGCGUUAUCCGGAUUUAUUGGGUUUAAAGGGAGCGUAGGUGGAUUGUUAAGUCAGUUGUGAAAGUUUGCGGCUCAACCGUAAAAUUGCAGUUGAAACUGGCAGUCUUGAGUACAGUAGAGGUGGGCGGAAUUCGUGGUGUAGCGGUGAAAUGCUUAGAUAUCACGAAGAACUCCGAUUGCGAAGGCAGUUCACUGGACUGCAACUGACACUGAGGCUCGAAAGUGUGGGUAUCAAACAGGAUUAGAUACCCUGGUAGUCCACACAGUAAACGAUGAAUACUCGCUGUUUGCGAUAUACAGCAAGCGGC
rnacentral:rRNA from 1 species